AUUAUUAAAAAAGAAGCUGAAAAAGUUAACUACUUUGGUUAGUUACCUUGGUCUUUAUUCAUUUUGACAGUCAAAAUUUCUUUAACAUCACUUUGAAUAAUAAUCUCUUAUUUAUACAGACAUUCAGUUCAAUAAAUCAUCAAUUGCUGAAUUUGUGUUUGAGAAAUAACCUCAUCUCGUCACCAACUUUACUCGAGAAAAGAUACUGAGCAAACGACUGCCAUGGAAGCAAUGUAAGACAGUAAGAGGCUUCUGCUGCAAAAACUUUACUUCAAUGUCUAAGCAAGCAGAAUCCACAGGACAAUGAAAAUGAAGUAGAGAAGCUGCACAAAAGUUCUGCUCAAAAUUGCAGGAGAAUAAAUUGAAC